rnacentral:misc_RNA from 1 species
UGGAUUUAAUAAGACUGGAUUACCAAGUGCUUUUUGGAAUUUCAUGGAGCCACAUGCUCAGAUUGAUCGUGUUUCUGGGACUGUUGUUCUUGCUCUUGUCAUACUGUACCUCUCAAACUUGGCUUCGAACGUGCCUACUGUUCUUCUGCUUGGAGCACGGGUCGCUGCAUCAGCUGCUGCAAUAUCUGCAGCUCAAGAAAAACGG